UAAGAUAGUGACAUAAUAUCAAAUCUGUUAGGAUUUGGCAUUUCUGAUUUCUAGUAAUUCUAAAUUAUCUGCCUCCUAUGGGAGUACAAAGCAUCUCUUGGGAGAAGCAGAAGUCUCCGGGGUCCUAAAGAAGUGGAUAGUGCUUGGCUUCUCAUGGGAGGCCACUGGCUUCUUAUAUCAUCAAAUUUUAGGUUAGAGUCUUAUGAGAGACAGGGCUUGGCCCUGCUGCCACUGACAUCAGUGCCAUUUUGUUAAUAGCCCUAAAGAAAACCAUAUUCUUCUAUGAAUUCCUAUGCUUUUUGUAUAGCAGGCAUGUUGUAACUCUGUCUCAGUUUCCUUUCUUUUUUUUAAUGACUAGUAGGGUUUUAUUUCUUAGUAUAUAGGUCUGAGUCCAGUCAAGCAUGACAGUAGAACAACUUUUCUAUGCAACCCACAAAAAAAGAUAAAAUUUACUUUAAGGAAAAGGGGGUAAUAACCUCUUGCCUGGCCUUGGUCUCCUGGUAUCAAUCAGUAAUAGAGAGAACCUCUUUUUCAGGCUACUGAAAGAAGGAAACCUAGCUAUCUUCAUGGAGCAUGAGCCAGGAUUGGUCAUCAGCACUUUGGGGCUUGGGAACACACUGUAGGUGCAAUGGGAGAGCCUCUAACUUAAGUGAAAAAUUGUAGAUGAAAUGAGAUACAUGAAUGAUAUUUGCAGGGAAAAUGAAAGGCACGUAACUAAAAUAUUCGAUAUGUUGGAAAUGCAGUCCACAGGUAUGCUGAACUAACUUUUGCCUAGCAAAAAGUGGGCUUCUGUUUCAUCAUUUUAAUGCCUGGGGGGAAAUGCCUUUAAAUGCCUGGGGGUGAGGGAAUGUACCCUUUUUUAAUACCUGUUUGAAUUGUCCGCACAAAACAAUGAAAACCAAAAAAAGUAAUUGGAGUUUAAACAAUGUAAGACUAUAUGUUCACAUUUGUUGCCAGUCUUUUUGCAAAGUUUUGUGUGAACCGUUGAUCUACACAGAAGAAAAUGGGCUAUAGUUAUCUGGUUUAGCUGGACAGGAGUGUGGAAAAUUAGAAGUGAGGCUGUUUAUAACUCAUUCUACCUCAUGUGUGUUUUUUCAGAACAGGAAGAUGCUUGAAAUAGCUCAACCCUGCUUGUCUGAAUCUUUAAAGGUGCAGUUUGUGUUCCCUUCAAAAGCACCUCAGGGAUCACAGUCGGAACACAAUAAAUGGCCAGACUGUACCACCAGGGAGCUGAGCGCAAGGUUCAGUAUUUCUGACUAACGACACGCUAUGCUGGUGUGAGCAAAGCAAAGAAGCCCUGCUGACAAAGCCUCGGACUUGCAGUGUGGGUGGCAGCACUGGCAGACAAUCUAGAUUGCUGUGCCAGUGAAUUGGUGAGAGAAAACUAAAACACAGAUGGUCAUGCCAAUAUCUAUUUAUCAGUCCAUGAAGAAAAGAAGUACAUUUUAAUUAGAAGAAGCUGUUAGAAGAUACGCUGCGACAUUUGCGAGAACAAAAUACUAGUAAAGAAGGAGCGUGACCCAGGUGUGACUCCUGGGAUAGAUGCUGCCACCAGGGGCAUGCUUGGUGAGCCAGCCUGUGCUCCCCCGGCAGUGAUGGCGCUGGAAGGGGUCACAGCAGCUAGACUGGGCUCCCGCCACCAAAGGAACAGAUGCAGGAAUGAACUGUGAUGCAAAAAGCUCCCCCUUGCUUUAACAAGGGAGGGAAUAAAUCUCUUUUCUGUUAGGAGUACCUUCUCACAGACAUCUGUGACAGAUCAGGAAAAGGAGGAAUGGACUCUCUUCAUCUCAUUGUGAACCUGAUUCAGCAAAGCAUUUUAGCACAUAGCUGGAUCUGAGAAAGGAAAACAUAGACCCUUGAUUUACGCUUUCAGUGUGAGUGGAUGCUCCUAUAAUCAGAAACAUUGGUUGCCAAUCAGGACAUUUUUUAAAAUUCUGUUCAAGACUACAAUAAAGAAAAAAUCAAAUAGGUUACAAUAUAUGUGUAAAGCAAAAGAAACAGAUGAGUUCUGGAAGGAUGCUACAGUGAAAAAUGAGGUGAGAUUAGUCUGUGUGAUCAGCAGUGGUCAGGUGGAUGGGUUGCUUAUUUUGGUUUGUGACUUUGGCAGAGGGCCCUGGAGGUAUGGGGUUUUUUUGUUUUCCUGUAGACUAAACACAAAGGUGAGUUUUAAUAGUAAAACUGUAAGGAUUCCCUGAAGUGCCUUCAUAUUCAAGCAUGUGUUCAAAAACUUAAAAUGGAGGAUAGAGUUUGAUUAUAGCUUUUUGCUAGUGAAGGUGACAAGACCAAAGGUUACCCAGAGUUUCUGCCAGGCUUCCUGCUUUAUUCUAGAGCACAAGGGAAAGUAGAUGUCAGCAAAGCUAUGGCUGGUACACACAGUUGUGCAAUGAGAAAGACUGGCAAAAAGAUGAAAGAGUUGGAGAGUGAACCUUGGAAGAGAUUCAUCCACCGCGGCAGCUGUCUGUUGUCUUCUUCUAGUGUUGAGCAGUGCUGUCCUCCACUCCUCAGAAACCUCAAUCUGCUGAAAGUUGUGGCUUUGGUUAAACAAAGGUGCUUCCAAAAGAAGAUUCAUGGAACUGUCUUGGGAGAAAUAUCUUCUACAUUGAGAACACGUAUUAUUGUAAAUCUGUAAGAUGCAGUCACAAUGAAGGUUGUUGGAUCCCUCUCAAUAAA